rnacentral:rRNA from 1 species
CAAGUCGAGCGGAGNGAGGUGCUUGCACCUUAUCUUAGCGGCGGACGGGUGAGUAAUGCUUAGGAAUCUGCCUAUUAGUGGGGGACAACAUUCCGAAAGGAAUGCUAAUACCGCAUACGUCCUACGGGAGAAAGCAGGGGAUCUUCGGACCUUGCGCUAAUAGAUGAGCCUAAGUCGGAUUAGCUAGUUGGUGGGGUAAAGGCCUACCAAGGCGACGAUCUGUAGCGGGUCUGAGAGGAUGAUCCGCCACACUGGGACUGAGACACGGCCCAGACUCCUACGGGAGGCAGCAGUGGGGAAUAUUGGACAAUGGGGGGAACCCUGAUCCAGCCAUGCCGCGUGUGUGAAGAAGGCCUUAUGGUUGUAAAGCACUUUAAGCGAGGAGGAGGCUACUGAGACUAAUACUCUUGGAUAGUGGACGUUACUCGCAGAAUAAGCACCGGCUAACUCUGUGCCAGCAGCCGCGGUAAUACAGAGGGUGCGAGCGUUAAUCGGAUUUACUGGGCGUAAAGCGUGCGUAGGCGGCUUUUUAAGUCGGAUGUGAAAUCCCCGAGCUUAACUUGGGAAUUGCAUUCGAUACUGGGAAGCUAGAGUAUGGGAGGGGAUGGUAGAAUUCCNGGUGUAGCGGUGAAAUGCGUAGAGAUCUGGAGGAAUACCGAUGGCGAAGGCAGUC